GAUGAACGCUAGCGGCAGGCCUAACACAUGCAAGUCGAGGGGUAACAUAGGAAAGCUUGCUUUUCUGAUGACGACCGGCGCACGGGUGCGUAACGCGUAUACAACCUACCUUUUAGCGGGGAAUAGCCCAGGGAAACUUGGAUUAAUGCCUCAUAGUAUAUAAGCUUCUCCUGAAGUUUAUAUUAAACAUUUAUGGCUAUUAGAUGGGUAUGCGUCCUAUUAGUUAGUUGGUAAGGUAACGGCUUACCAAGGCAGCGAUAGGUAGGGGUCCUGAGAGGGAGAUCCCCACACAGGUACUGCGACACGGUCCAGACUCCUACGGGAGGCAGCAGUGGGGAAUAUUGGACAAUGGGCGAGAGCCUGAUCCAGCCAUGCCGCGUGCAGGAAGACUGCCCUAUGGGUUGUAAACUGCUUUUACAGAGGAAGAACCACCCCCACGUGUGGGGGUUUGACGGUACUCUGCGAAUAAGGAUCGGCUAACUCCGUG
rnacentral:rRNA from 1 species